AUGAACGCUGGCGGCGUGCCUAAUACCUGCAAGUCGCGCGAACAGAUAAGGAGCUUGCUCCUUUGACGUUAGCGGCGGACGGGUGAGUAACACGUGGAUAACCUACCUAUAAGACUGGGAUAACUUCGGGAAACCGGAGCUAAUACCGGAUAACAUAUUGAACCGCAUGGUUCAAUAGUGAAAGGCGGCUUUGCUGUCACUUAUAGAUGGAUCCGCGCCGUAUUAGCUAGUUGGUAAGGUAACGGCUUACCAAGGCAACGAUACGUAGCCGACCUGAGAGGGUGAUCGGCCACACUGGAACUGAGACACGGUCCAGACUCCUACGGGAGGCAGCAGUAGGGAAUCUUCCGCAAUGGGCGAAAGCCUGACGGAGCAACGCCGCGUGAGUGAUGAAGGUCUUCGGAUCGUAAAACUCUGUUAUCAGGGAAGAACAAAUGUGUAAGUAACUGUGCACAUCUUGACGGUACCUGAUCAGAAAGCCACGGCUAACUACGUG
rnacentral:rRNA from 1 species